UACGGAGGGUGCAAGCGUUAUCCGGAUUUACUGGGUUUAAAGGGUGCGUAGGCGGGUUGGUAAGUCAGUGGUGAAAUACUUUCGCUUAACGAAGGAACUGCCAUUGAUACUAUCAGUCUUGAAUACAGUGGAGGUAGGCGGAAUGCGUCAUGUAGCGGUGAAAUGCUUAGAUAUGACGCAGAACACCAAUUGCGAAGGCAGCUUGCUACACUGUUAUUGACACUGAGGCACGAAAGCGUGGGGAUCAAACAGG
rnacentral:rRNA from 1 species